ACAUGCCCAGUCGUGGGGAAUAACACUUCGAAAGAAGUGCUAAUACCGCAUACGUCCUGAGGGAGAAAGCGGGGGAUCGCAAGACCUCGCGCGAUUGGAGUGGCCGAUGUCAGAUUAGCUAGUUGGUGGGGUAAAGGCCUACCAAGGCAACGAUCUGUAGCUGGUCUGAGAGGAUGAUCAGCCACACUGGGACUGAGACACGGCCCAGACUCCUACGGGAGGCAGCAGUGGGGAAUUUUGGACAAUGGGGGCAACCCUGAUCCAGCCAUUCCGCGUGAGUGAAGAAGGCCUUCGGGUUGUAAAGCUCUUUCGGCAGGAACGAAACGGCGAGCUCUAACAUAGCUCGCUAAUGACGGUACCUGAAGAAGAAGCACCGGCUAA
rnacentral:rRNA from 1 species